AAUAAAAAAUAUUUUUGAGAUAAUUUUUGAAUAAAAUAAUAAAAUAUAUCAUAUUCAAGAUUUAUUUAAUAUAUAUAGAUAUAUAUAUUUCAUUUUUUAAAAUUAUUACUUUAUUAAAUUUUAUAUAUAUGUUUUUAUAUACUUUUUAUUACGUUGUGGAUUGUCAAAAUUGGGUGUCAACAUAUGUUACUUAGGUUCAAAGGAUGACGCGACGAACGGGAUAAAGAGUAUCCCGUAAGAGGUACAUAUACACAACUUGGAGAUCCGUCAGCAUAGGAGUCCCACCCAAUGGUCCAGAAGUGCUCCUUUGUGCGGGAGCCUAAUUUUGAUACUAAACCCUGAUGUAUAUCUUUUUGUUCAUGGGUACGGCGGGGGCCCUAUCUCGCCUUAUGUUACUGUUGUUUUCUUUUACUCUUAGAGGUCUGUGGAUAUGUACAUGAAGUGUAUAUGGGCUGUAUAUGACAUGUAUAUGGGCUGUAUAUAAGAAGUAUAUGGGUUGUAUAUGAGAUGUAUACGGGCUGUAUAUAAGAUGUAUAUGGGUUAUACAUGAGAUGUAUAUGGGUUGUAUAUGAGCUGUAUAUGGGUUAUGUAUAUGUGUAUGUAUAGUUGUGCUUA